GAUGAACGCUGGCGGCGUGCCUAAUACAUGCCAGUCGAGCGAACAGACGAGGAGCUUGCUCCUCUGACGUUAGCGGCGGACGGGUGAGUAACACGUGGAUAACCUACCUAUAAGACUGGGAUAACUUCGGGAAACCGGAGCUAAUACCGGAUAAUAUAUUGAACCGCAUGGUUCAAUAGUGAAAGACGGUUUUGCUGUCACUUAUAGAUGGAUCCGCGCCGCAUUAGCUAGUUGGUAAGGUAACGGCUUACCAAGGCAACGAUGCGUAGCCGACCUGAGAGGGUGAUCGGCCACACUGGAACUGAGCCACGGUCCAGACUCCUACGGGAGGCAGCAGUAGGGAAUCUUCCGCAAUGGGCGAAAGCCUGACGGAGCAACGCCGCGUGAGUGAUGAAGGUCUUCGGAUCGUAAAACUCUGUUAUUAGGGAAGAACAAAUGUGUAAGUAACUAUGCACGUCUUGACGGUACCUAAUCAGAAAGCCACGGCUAACUACGUG
rnacentral:rRNA from 1 species